GACGAACGCUGGCGGCGUGCUUAACACAUGCAAGUCGAACGGAAAGGCCCUGCUUUUGUGGGGUGCUCGAGUGGCGAACGGGUGAGUAACACGUGAGUAACCUGCCCUUGACUUUGGGAUAACUUCAGGAAACUGGGGCUAAUACCGGAUAGGAGCUCCUGCUGCAUGGUGGGGGUUGGAAAGUUUCGCCGGUUGGGGAUGUACUCGCGGCUUAUCAGAUUGUUGGUGGGGUAGUGGCUUACCAAGGCUUGGACGGGUAGCCGGCCUGAGAGGGUGACCGGACCAAUUGGGCUUGAGAUACGGCACAGACUAGUACGGGAGGGAGGAGAGGGGAAUAGUGUACAAGGGGAGGAAGCAUGGUGCAGCAACGCAGCGUGGGGGAUGACGUCCAUCGGGUUGUAAACCGCUGUCGCCUGUGACGAAGUGUGAGUGACGGUAACGGGUAAAGAAGCACCGGCUAACUACGUG
rnacentral:rRNA from 1 species